UGUCUUUUUGAAAAUAAUAUAAAGUCUAAUCUGCCCACUGAUUUAAUAAUUGAAGGGCUGCAGUAUAUUGACUGUACAAAGGUAGCAUAAUCAUUAGUCAUUUAAUUGAUGACUUGUAUGAAGGAUUGGAUGAAAUAUAAACUGUCUCUUGAUUAAAAAUAGAAUUUAAUUUUUUAAUUAAAAAGUUAAAAUGAUUUAAAAAGACGAGAAGACCCUAUAGAGUUUUAUAAAUAAAUUAAUUAAGAUUAUUUAUUAAAUUAAAAUUAAAAUUUGAGAUAUUUAUUAUAUUGGGGUGAUAGAAAAAUAUGAUUAACUUUUUUUAUAUAAAUAACAUAUAUAAGUGAAUAAAUGAUCCAAUAUUAUUGAUUAUAAGAAAAAAUUACCUUAGGGAUAACAGCGUAAUUUUUUUUUUUAGUUCAUAUAAGAAAAAGAGUUUGCGACCUCGAUGUUGGAUUAAGAUAAAAUUUAAAUGCAGAAG
rnacentral:rRNA from 1 species